AUUGAACGCUGGCGGCAUGCCUAACACAUGCAAGUCGAACGGCAGCACAAUAAAGAUUUCGGUCUUUAUGGGUGGCGAGUGGCGGACGGGUGAGUAACGCGUAGGAAUCUGUCCUGGAGAGUGGGAUAACCCGAGGAAACUCGGGCUAAUACUGCAUGACAUUGAGAGAUCAAAAGCAGGGGACCGAAAGGCCUUGCGCUCUGGGGUGAGCCUACGUCGGAUUAGCUAGUUGGUGGGGUAAAGGCCUACCAAGGCGACGAUCCGUAGCUGGUCUGAGAGGAUGACCAGCCACACUGGGACUGAGACACGGCCCAGACUCCUACGGGAGGGAGCAGGGGGGAAUCUUGGACAAUGGGUGAAACCCUGAUCCAGCGAUGCCGCGUGUGUGAAGAAGGCCUUCGGGUUGUAAAGCACUUUAGUUGGGGAAGAAAGGUAGCGAGUGAAUAACUUUCUGCUGUGACGGUACCCACAGAAUAAGCACCGGCUAACUCUGUGCCAGCAGCCGCAGUAA
rnacentral:rRNA from 1 species